AGCUGCGACACCGAGGUGAAGGCGCUGCCGCGCGCGGGGCUCCCGCCCUCCAGCCGUCCGGGCAGAGAGCCUCCGGGACGCGGAGCCAGCAACUUCUCGGGGGCCCCAGGCGACCCCGCCGCGGGGGUGGACGAGCCGUUGCUGCCGCCGCCGGCGACACCGCCUCCCGCGUCGGGGUCCUCGGCCGUGCCCCCUGCGCCGUCUGUCGCCGCCGCCUCCUCCUGCAAGCCCACCGCGCGGCCCGCCUUCUUCACCUCCACGAAGGCGCUGCGCUUCGCCUCGCCAGUCUCCGGGCUGGGCGGCGCGAAGAGCCGGCCGUUCUCCUCCAGGCCGAAGUAGCUGCCGGCGGCGCGGUACUGCUGCGGCGUGCACACCAACUCCUCCUUGGAGGUCGCCAGCGGCCUCUCGGAGAAGCGCGCACGGCCGCCCGCCAGCCCCGCGCCGCCGCCCUCCGCCGCCGCCUCCUCUGGGAACCGCCUCUUGCCUUUGCAGCCGCCGGUGGCGACGCCGUCGGGACUCAGCUCCGCCUCCUGGUGGCCGCUGCCGCCACUGCCGACGCCCGGGGCCGCUACGCAACUGCUGCUUCCCCGGGAGUUUUCCAGUUCCCGAGCCAAGUUGUGGAAGUCCGUGGACGGCUUGGCGCUGCCGGCACCCGCGGAGCCCGGCGGGUUGCUCGCCUCCGGGGAUGACGCGGGGUAGUGGUGUAUGGGGCCGGCUUUGCAGAACUUGGGGCCCGGGAUCAACGGCGCCUCCUGUUGCUGCUGCUGUUGCUGCUGCUGUUGCUCUUUACCACCGCCGCCGCCGCCGUGGUCCUUAGUGCCCAAGCCGCCCCCUUGCUCGUCUUGGGGAUUCGCAUCAGUGCUGUGAAGUCUCUUGGGGCAGCGGAAUCGCAGAUGUGCCACAUAGGGGAACUCAAACUGGAAACGUUGGCUGCAUUCCAGGCAUGUGUAAGGAGACGACCCUGCUUAGUGAGCAAACACACACACACACACACACACACACACACACACACACACACACACACACACCCCACAUGGUUAGUUAGCAUCGCCCCUAGGCCACUUAGCCAUCCUCCCCAUAACAAAUCCACUUUAUCUUUCUGGGCUGAGUGCCCAAAAAAAUGAAUACACUAUCCUAUUUGGUGCAACUUACUUUCUUGAUUUGUGCAUUUACUAAGUCAAACGCUCCCCAACUUUUCCUUCCCCUUCUGUCCUAGUUCCAUUCGGGACAACACCUCAGAAGCUUCGUCCACCCUAUGAUGUGCAAGGUGAGCCCAGGCACCCGAGCCAACCUACCGUUCAUUUUGUGAGCUCUAGACGGGCAGAGCAAGAGCAAUUCAGUCAGUUCUUUCCCGUACCAAACUAGUAACUCUUCAUCUUUGGCAAUCCUGCGGAGAGAGCGGUAGAACAGCUGUCCAUUUUUUAUAUAAGCUUCGAGAUUCUGUUCUUCCUUAUCUCGGGCUGAUUGGACCAGCCGCAGCCACAUGAGACCUUCUGAGGAACCAUUUGCCGCCGAAGUGUCUACCUACAGUAUUUAAGAAAGACAAGAAGAGAGGGAUCCACGUGAAAGACGGCAACCAGAGAAACCAGAGAUAUUUCAUCUGUCUGGCUUUUGUUCUUUCCAAACAAUUAUCUGAAACCAAGUUUGCAAAAGUUGACCAAAGUCGAACUGCAUCCCUGCAUUUGUGGUCAAUGGGCACAGUGGCCAUCCUUUGCAAUAUUGGGUCAGUCUUACAGAGUAGCCUCUUUAGAAUCUCCCUUUCAGUUACCUCACAUGACAAAAGGAGAGGAAAUUUCCCGUGUUUCAGAAGUAAAAGGAAAUUACCCUCAGACACCUCCAUCACACUUGCUGAGACUCACCCGGAAGAUGUAAGGUACUGUUCUCUUGUCCGUGGACUUGAGGGCUACGAAGGCUAUGCUGUCAUACAGGGAAGUAUGGCUCAGUACACAGGGACCGAAUAUGGCGUUCUCUGGGAUGUCGCAGGUUGUAUAUACACUGGUAAAAAUGUCUGUCAGACACUGUUGGACAGCCUUGGCAUCUCCAUCCCAGAUGCCUCUCUGGAUGCCUGAAUCCUCCAUCACUGGAGACAGAUACCCAGGACGAGAAGAGAGUUGUUAUUGCCUUUUCUGCUACGAACCUCGGCAGAGCGUUUCCGCUACCAGACAUAUUUUCUUUGCACUUGCCGGCUUUUUUACAUAGCUCCUACUUUAAAAAUAAAGCCGAUCAAUCUGUCAUGCUUUAAAGAUGC
rnacentral:lncRNA from 1 species